rnacentral:piRNA from 1 species
UCUACGAAACGUUCUGGUCUCAGAAAGUC